rnacentral:rRNA from 1 species
UACGUAGGCAGCGAGCGUUGUUCGGAAUUACUGGGCGUAAAGAGUGUGUAGGCGGUGCUCUAAGUUCGGUGUGAAAUCUCCUGGCUUAACUGGGAGGGUGCGCCGGAAACUGGGGUGCUCGAGCGUGGGAGAGGAAAGCGGAAUUCCUGGUGUAGCGGUGAAAUGCGUAGAUAUCGGGAGGAACACCUGUGGUGUAGACGGCUAUCUGGACGGCGACUGACGCUGAGACACGAAAGCGUGGGUAGCAAACAGG